rnacentral:rRNA from 1 species
GAUGUGGUUAAGUCCCGUAACGAGCGCAACCCUUGUCCUUAGUUACCAGCACGUUAUGGUGGGCACUCUAAGGAGACUGCCGGUGACAAACCGGAGGAAGGUGGGGAUGACGUCAAGUCAUCAUGGCCCUUACGGCCUGGGCUACACACGUGCUACAAUGGUCGGUACAAAGGGUUGCCAAGCCGCGAGGUGGAGCUAAUCCCAUAAAACCGAUCGUAGUCCGGAUCGCAGUCUGCAACUCGACUGCGUGAAGUCGGAAUCGCUAGUAAUCGUGAAUCAGAAUGUCACGGUGAAUACGUUCCCGGGCCUU